UACGUAGGGGGCUAGCGUUGUCCGGAUUUAUUGGGCGUAAAGAGCGUGUAGUCGGCCAGGUAGGUCUGGUGUGAAAACUCGAGGCUUAACCUCGAGAUGUCAUCGGAAACCAUCUGGCUAGAGUCCGGAAGAGGAGAGUGGAAUUCCUGGUGUAGCGGUGAAAUGCGCAGAUAUCAGGAAGAACACCAAUGGCGAAAGCAGCUCUCUGGGACGGUACUGACGCUGAGACGCGAAAGCGUGGGGAGCGAACAGG
rnacentral:rRNA from 1 species